rnacentral:rRNA from 1 species
UACAGAGGUCCCAAGCGUUGUUCGGAUUCAUUGGGCGUAAAGGGUGCGUAGGCGGCGCGGGUAAGUCGGGUGUGAAAUCUCGGAGCUUAACUCCGAAACUGCAUUCGAUACUGCCGUGCUUGAGGACUGGAGAGGAGACUGGAAUUUACGGUGUAGCGGUGAAAUGCGUAGAUAUCGUAAGGAAGACCAGUGGCGAAGGCGGGUCUCUGGACAG